rnacentral:rRNA from 1 species
AACCUUACCUACCCUUGACAUGGUCGGAAUCCUGAAGAGAUUCGGGAGUGCUCGAAAGAGAACCGGCGCACAGGUGCUGCAUGGCUGUCGUCAGCUCGUGUCGUGAGAUGUUGGGUUAAGUCCCGCAACGAGCGCAACCCUUGUCCUUAGUUGCUACGCAAGAGCACUCUAAGGAGACUGCCGGUGACAAACCGGAGGAAGGUGGGGAUGACGUCAAGUCCUCAUGGCCCUUAUGGGUAGGGCUUCACACGUCAUACAAUGGUCGGAACUGAGGGUUGCCAACCCGCGAGGGGGAGCUAAUCCCAGAAAACCCUCCUAUCCGGAUUGCACUCUGCAACUCGAGUGCAUGAAGCUGGAAUCGCUAGUAAUCGCGGAU